rnacentral:lncRNA from 1 species
AAGACGGUUCACACUAAGCGGCUUGUUUCCAAUAACAAGUGAUGAUGGAGGUGUUGUUGCUGUGUGCCUGUUUCUGUGUCGGCCUCUCGUAUGGUGAGCUAGAGUAUGGGAGCUCAUUCACAAUGAGGCUGAGCAGAAAGGCUAAUUCCCUCACGUUCACCCCUUUGCUUGGCUCAGAUGUGACGAUCUUGUGGAAACGUGAUGACCCUCCAGCCAGCGAGGACAGUAGGUGGAAAGUAACAGGUAGCCUCUUUAAGAUCCAUUCUUUGACCCAGAAAGACAGUGGGACCUACAUCGUGAGAGACAAAGAUCAGUCGUCAUUGACUGAAAGGACCAUUAGAGUUGUGGCACAAAAGAUGUCAUUUAGAAAUGAUGAGGGUGUAAGCUUCGGCUUCGACCACGAUCUGGAACCAUCCUCCUGCAACAUUUACUUCAUCCCAGAAGGGGACUCAGUCAAGCACCAGAUAGUUCGUCAUGGAAGGCUACGGCCCAUUCCGGAUUGUUCAGGGUUUGAUCUGUUCGGGUUUUGUGGGGUUUCAAAUACCAACCCCCAAGAGUCAUGCAGCGGGCACUAUGAGGUCAGAGAUUCAAUGGGCAACGAGGUCUUAGUGGUGACAGUAGAGGUCGUGGGGUCAUCAUCAUCUUUUGAUACCAAAAAAAUUGGAUUGGGCUUUGGCAUUUUCUUCGCUGUAGUUAGCUGCUGUGGCUGCUUGAAGCGCUGCUGCUGUGGGAAGAGCUCCUCCAAAGAGGAGCAACCUGAGACUCCUGAUGAGGAACCUGCGGUACAUUACCACGAGUAUGACCAUGAACCUGUUGGACCAGGACAAGAACAACUCUACCCUGCUCAGCCCUCGCACACUCCGAGUGUCCCGCUGAUCCACAAUCCUCCCCCGACUGUGCCGCCAGCCUAUUCUGAGAUUUUUUCAUCUCCAGCAGAGCCAACAGUCGCUCCAACCUUCGCUCCAACUAUCUCUCCAACUGUCGCUCCAACCGUCCCUAUCCAAUCAGACGGCCAGCCGCGGUUUGAACUGAAGGGGAUGUCUUUUUCCUCUGCCCCCCCACUCAGUUCAGAUUCUCCUUACGGUGACGUUUAUACCUCAGAAAAACUCAACUUCCUCUGAAAGCCUUCAUUUUAAAAGCUGAACUCAUUUGUUGGUGUGAUUUUGUGACAAAGUUCAACAACUGGGAAAGAUACUCAUUCAUAAGUGGCUUCAUGAAAUCUUUGCUGGUUGCCUAGCAGCUGGUCACGGCCAAGAAAUAGUCCGGCUCAUAACCCCCAGGGAUACAGCCAGUUGUUGUUUUUUAUACUUUGUUUUCUUUUAAGUGGAUUCAUCAAAGAACAUAUAACUAAUUCAUUAGUGAGCUUUAGAGUUGCUGGCAUGCAAAUGUUGUAACCUCUGUACAUUGUCGAGCUAGCUGCUUACCUUUUUCUAGUCUUUAUGGUUAGCUAAGUUGACCAGCUGCUGUUUCUAGCUUCAUAUUUACUGCACAGAUUUAAAAGUAGAGUCAAUCUUCUCAGUUCUUCAACAAUCAGCGCAAAGUGGAUAAUCAUAUUUCACAAAAUGCUGGACUUACACCUACACAGAAAGACACACAAAUAGACAAACCUGUUCUUCCACAAUCUUCUAUGUUCCUGAUGUUUUACUGUGCCAAAUCUUUAUAACAAUUGCUUGAAAAAAACAGAGAUGGAACGAACACUGUGUUUUGUAUCUGCGUCAGUCCCAUUUAUUUAUGUCUUACUAUAAAGGGCAUAAUGCAAGACUUUUUAGCAAAAGGUCAAAGGUCCCAAGCCAUAGGUAAAAGGCCAUCUUUCAAUGAACAAAACAUGCACUCUAAACUGAGUGACUGCCUUAUCUACAAUAAUCUUAUACCUCAGGAGUCUCGUCUUAUCAAUUUUGUUGUACUGUUUGAAAAGCUUUCGCAUUCCUGCACUUCUGUCAGGGAUACAACAUUUAAUACAGAUGAGUUGGACUUUUCAGGAACGACACACACAAGGUAGCCUUCUAUUUGCUAAACACUCUGCAUUUAAAGCAACAUUAUGUAGAAAUUGGCUUUUUUUUUUUGAUUACUUGCACCCCAGGUUUCUGAGUGCAACGCCACUGUUAAUGCCAGGUCUGUAACAAUUUGUCAAACGUAAUGUAGGUGCUAACUACAGACAAAACUCAUUACGUCAUAACAAUGUUGUGAGUUUUUAACUUGCAUGUCGAGGUAAACAUGUAUGUAAACACUGUGAUCCUACCCUGUUGCUGAAGUUACAUAGUGCAGAAACAAGUCAUGGCGGGUGAAGUGGCUGAGACAGAGACACCGCUCACACUGCCCUUCGUGUGCGGGAAUCAUGCAGCAAAAUUCCUUGCAAGGUCCUCCGUGUGAAAGUUUCAGAUGCAGAGAGGGUGAAAGUUUUGCUGCGGCUCUGAUUCGCGUCCAGAGGUAGUAUCAGAGCCGCCGCAGAGGCAAGCCGGUGUCAGUUUGAAUGGGUAAGCCGGACCCUUAUCACCGCGAUGGUCAUUCCUCGCAACCAAGACUUAAGUGAAAUUUCCCCCAGAAAACAGCCUCCCUCCUGCGAGUGAGGGAAUCAGACAGUGUCCUGUUUUCUGAUGAUGAUUAUGUAAUUAUGUAAUUUAGUGCGAAAAACAUAACUUUGUCACUUUCCAGGAUGCAUGGUGAGUCAGGAUCUCAAUCACAACACAUUAUAAUUGCAUCCAUAUGAUUAUGAGCAGUCAGCGGGUACAUGUUGAGAUUAACAGGUAGACACCAGGAGACCACACAGACGUCAACAUCAUGACGUGUACACCUCUUUGGAUCCGCUGCACUGGCGUGCUGUAUACAUUGACACUGGUGCAGCUUUACGCCGGAGCUGUGUUAACAAAGAAAUGCAUAGAAUUGAAAGGCCUUCACUGCGGAGAUGAUGCAGAGUCUGUCGAAAAAGGACUACUGACACCAUUCACCCUGUAACAAGACACUGCACCAUCAAAAUGAUUUUUACGCUGUUAUUUUAAGGUCAAAAAGAAUACAUAAUGUUGCUGAAACUUCCAAUGAGCUGUAGAUGUUAUAGCCACUGUACUGCAGGAAUAUUUUUAUUUGCUCACACACACAUAUCCGAAUGUUCUGAAGUUGUUUUAUAUUAUAGCGAUUGUAUAAAAAUAUCACAAGCAACAGUUGCCUUUUCCUUGUGCAUAGAAAAGUCACCUCUGGACUGCACUUGUGUCAAUUCUGCGCCUUAAAUGCAUUAAUUUAAAAGUCUACCGUGACAUUCUGUAUAUCUUUCUAUACAUUUGUGACUGUUACACAUUCAAGCCAAUGUAUGCAACAGGCUACUUUCUGCACCACAAAACACUGCACUUGAGUUAUAUUUGGAGCUUUGAUAUUUAUCAUGAAGUAUAGGUCAGUCCUUUUUAUUUGAAUUGUUAAUUUUGCAUGUCUAUGGCGUUUAUGAUGAUAUGUCUAUAGUUGAUUAUAGUUGUUUUUUGUCGCACUAACUGGAACCUUUUGAUGAGCACGAUCUGAGGAGUUGUCAAAUAUUUCUCACCUUGUGUGUCUAUAUCUCAGUGUAUAUUCACUUUGUCAUUAAACCUCAUAAAUUCCUACUGAAUGGUGCUUUGUACUUGUUUUACUGUCUUGUGUCGCACAGUUUACUAGAAAUUCUGUGACGAUGUUCAAAAGCACCACCCACCCAACGUGUCACCACACAGCCAAAAGCUCAUCCAAGCAUAUAAAUUCUUUACCACCAUACCAACUGGUUCACAGAAGAAACUCAGCUGAGCGAUGUUAACCUUUUGUGCGUUGUCAAGAGCCAUAAAUCUGUUGCUGUAUGAGACAAUAAGAGAUUCCUUGUUGACACAUUUGUGUCAGUGAACCUGGGAAUCCUCCAACUUUGUGGCAUCAAUGUGCUUAGGUUGGAACUACAAUGGAUUAAUGUAUAAAAUGCAACACCUCUUACUGUUACUGUGAGAAAUGGAGAAAUGGCUCCAAGUUGACUGACUUUACCGACUGAUCCAUGCUGUUGUUGGUUUUGUUGGUGUAUUAAUAAUAAUCACUUGAUAGUUACAAAAAUGUAUUUAUAUAUUAAUUGUGACUCGUCUAGAAGAGUUUUAGUCUCGUCUUAAAUUACAAUAUCAGUCUUCUCUAACAUGAUUAAUGCAGCAUUCACGUGCUGCUCGGAUGGUCCCACUUCUUCCGACUUUGGUGUGUAACAUGAACACAAACCGGAAUGUGGGAGCAACACGGUUGACAUU